rnacentral:tRNA from 1 species
GUCAGUGCGUGAGAAGCUCAGCCGAGUAAGCGCUCGCUUCUCACGCAAGAGAUGCGGGUUCGAAUCCCGGCGCUGACA